CGACAGUUACACUCUGUUUCCUUUUCUUUUUUGCACGUACAUGAUAAAACUAAUAUUACAUACAAACAAUGGUGUGGAUAGGUUUUUUUAUGAGGUUGUCACAAAAAAUUUCAUAAAUAAUUUAGUAUGAUUCAUAAUUAUAAUUGACAUAUAGUUCAUAAUAUAAAAGUAAAAAUAACAUAUGAAACUAUAGAUUUAACAUUUACUAGUACAGUGCCCGUGUUGCGGCGACACACCAAUCAUAUUUGAUGGUAUAGUGGUGCAACAGUUGUAUGAUACGUGAAGGAAAUCCCGAUAAAGAUGAGUUUCAAAGGAGACAUGCCCCUUUUUUAUAGCUAACUCAGCCACUCACCCUCCUUCAGCUAGUGACGUGGUACUAUCCGGGAGCGUUGCGCUGCGUGCGACAUCAUGUCAUGUUGGGCUUGAAUAUUUUCUCACGGUCCAUCUAAAGGUAACAACCCACACAUGACUAUAGAUUAGAUUAUAAAGAAGUAUAUGGAUUUUUUUAUAAAAGAGAUGACAAUAAAACUCACGAAAAUUGAUGCUUUAUAGAAGCCGAGAAGUCCAUAAGUACAUACAUCAGAAUGCAAAUAUAAUAUAAAAUAAUUCAAAGAUCAAGCACAAAAUACACUAUUGGUGUCAGGUUUUUUUUGGCCUUCACCCCAUUCUGUAGAAGGUGCACCUCCCCCUCGCCUUCCCUCUGUCGCUGAUGCCGCCGUCGCAACCUUCAACUUGGGCAUUGCCUCCGUCUCGGCGGAGCUCCGAUGCAUUCGUUGUGGGCCUCGUAGGGCUCUUGCGUGAUGUGUGGUCUACCCUCUACACCUACCGUUGGUGUCCCAGGCGCCGCUGCCCAUUCCACCAGAUGUGGGUGACUGUGUCAGCGAUGGAGCCUCUAUUGGCGGUGACGGGGUUCAAGGCAACACGAUUGGCGUGGAAGCGGGCGACGCUGAUGCCAUGGAAGCGCAAGGGCCAGGACCUAGCUACAAAUUGUGAUCGCUUCUAGUAAUAACUUGCACUCCAAUCCCCGUAUACCAAAAACAAAAAAAACUGGAGAAACUGCACUAAAAAAUGAUGACGGUAAACAGAAAGUGGAAAACCCUACCUGUAGCGACCCAUGAUGACAACUCCGCAGCAACAACUGAUCUCCUUUGAUUUCCGAAUCAGUGUAGUCGAAUAAUGCGAAAAAUCUUAGAGGCGAUUCGGGGCGGCGCUGGAGAGCGGUACGGAAU
rnacentral:lncRNA from 1 species